UCAUUUUGCGCAGUGCAGAGUGGCCAAAACAAGUUGUACUGGAAAAAGGAGAAAAAGAGAAAAAAAGGGGGAGGGGAACAAACAGAAAACAAAAAACAAGGGGAGUAUCCUCUGAUUCUAUAUACUGUAAAUCCCUCAACUUCCCUUGAAACUUUCCAGUGUUGCUUGGUCAAUAACUUGCUUUUCCCCUGUCUUUUUGCUGGCCUUCUGGGGGAGGGGCCUGCUGUGCUGAUUCUGAGGUGUGUGCACCUGUGGGAGCUGCCCAGCCCCUUGCCAGGUGCAAAGCUCAGUGAGAGCUGUUUAUCCUGUGAGGAUCCUGCUCAGUCCCAAGUCAGGGUGACUCCAGGAGGAACAACAACAGUGGGGGCGGCCAGCUCUCUAACUCUGGAGUUAGGUCCCGCAGUAACUACUGUAGCUCCCAGUCCACAGGGGUCUGGAUGCUCUGGGCCGGGGGCACCGAUUUGCACAGUUUGGGGCCGCCCGGUGGCAGGAGCGUCCUCGCUGUCCUGGGCCCUCCCGGCCUCUGCCUGUCCCGGGGGAGGCCGGAUCCGGGCUGUGUCCCGGCGCCCUGUGCUCCGGGGCCUGCGCUGUUCGAGCCGUGCUCCCGCCCCGCAGCCCCCUCCGCGGAGCCGCCCCCGAGCCCCCCGAGCUGCUCCCGCCCCGCAGCCCCCUCCGCGGAGCCGCCCCCGAGCCCCCCGAGCUGCUCCCCCCGCAGCCCCCUCCGCGGAGCCGCCCCCGAGCCCCCCGAGCUGCUCCCGCCCCGCAGUCCCCUCCGCGGAGCCGCCCCCGAGCCCCCCCGGAGCUGCUUCGGGUCCAGCCCUGCGCGCUGCAGCCCUUAGGGAGCUUGGGGCGCUCUCCCGGGGCGCAGGUGCCUGUCAGUGUCCCCGGGAGCCCGAGGGCAUCCCCGCCCUCCUGGGUCCUGCUCCACCUCCCCGCGAGCCCCUUUCCCCCGGGAAGGUCGGUGCAGCUCCUGCUCCUCCGGGACGGGGCUCUCCUGUCCUGGGGACACUCGCCCCGGCCUCAGCCCGGCUCCUCGCGGGGCCCCUCCCCCUUGGAGGCCUUUUGUGUCUUUAUUUCUUUUUCCCCGUCUUCCUACCUUGA
rnacentral:lncRNA from 12 species